rnacentral:rRNA from 1 species
AACGAACGCUGGCGGCAUGCCUAACACAUGCAAGUCGAACGAGACCUUCGGGUCUAGUGGCGCACGGGCGCGUAACGCAUGGGAACCUGCCCUUAGGUUCGGAAUAACUCCCCGAAAGGGGUGCUAAUACCGGAUAAUGUCUUCGGACCAAAGAUUUAUCGCCUUUGGAUGGGCCCGCGUUGGAUUAGCUAGUUGGUAGGGUAAAAGCCUACCAAGGCGACGAUCCAUAGCUGGUCUGAGAGGAUGAUCAGCCACACUGGGACUGAGACACGGCCCAGACUCCUACGGGAAGCAGCAGUGGGGAAUAUUGGACAAUGGGCGAAAGCCUGAUCCAGCAAUGCCGCGUGAGUGAUGAAGGCCUUAGGGUUGUAAAGCUCUUUUACCCGGGAUGAUAAUGACAGUACCGGGAGAAUAAGCUCCGGCUAACUCCGUG